ACUUGUGACUGAAGGCGGCUUAGGAGAGACCUAAGUGCUGGAGCUUAGGGAUCCGGCCUGGGGGUGGAGUUCAGGUCGUGGAAGGGUGGAGUCUCAUAGCCUGGCCUGUCUAAGGCCCCUGUCUAUGCUAUUCUCAUAGCCCUGGCCGAGAUCCUGAGCGUGAAGGACAUCAGUGGCCGGAAGCUUUUCUACGUCCAUUACAUUGACUUCAACAAACGUCUGGAUGAAUGGGUGACGCACGAGCGGCUGGACCUAAAGAAGAUCCAGUUCCCCAAGAAAGAGGCCAAGACCCCCACCAAGAACGGACUUCCUGGGUCCCGUCCCGGCUCUCCAGAGAGAGAGGUGCCGGCCUCGGCGCAGGCCAGCGGGAAGACCUUGCCAAUCCCGGUCCAGAUCACACUCCGCUUCAACCUGCCCAAGGAGCGGGAGGCCAUUCCCGGUGGCGAGCCUGACCAGCCGCUCUCCUCCAGCUCCUGCCUGCAGCCCAACCACCGCUCAACGAAACGGAAGGUGGAGGUGGUUUCACCAGCAACUCCAGUGCCCAGCGAGACAGCCCCGGCCUCGGUUUUUCCCC
rnacentral:sRNA from 1 species